GACGAACGCUGGCGGCGUGCCUAAUACAUGCAAGUUGAGCGCUGAAGGUUGGUACUUGUACCAACUGGAUGAGCAGCGAACGGGUGAGUAACGCGUGGGGAAUCUGCCUUUGAGCGGGGGACAACAUUUGGAAACGAAUGCUAAUACCGCAUAAAAACUUUAAACACAAGUUUUAAGUUUGAAAGAUGCAAUUGCAUCACUCAAAGAUGAUCCCGCGUUGUAUUAGCUAGUUGGUGAGGUAAAGGCUCACCAAGGCGAUGAUACAUAGCCGACCUGAGAGGGUGAUCGGCCACAUUGGGACUGAGACACGGCCCAAACUCCUACGGGAGGCAGCAGUAGGGAAUCUUCGGCAAUGGACGAAAGUCUGACCGAGCAACGCCGCGUGAGUGAAGAAGGUUUUCGGAUCGUAAAACUCUGUUGGUAGAGAAGAACGUUGGCGAGAGUGGAAAGCUCAUCAAGUGACGGUAACUACCCAGAAAGGGACGGCUAACUACGU
rnacentral:rRNA from 1 species